rnacentral:lncRNA from 1 species
CUUAUUAACUCAAUUAAAAUGAGUCGUUGCUCCAAGGUGUAAAUGUGUUGUUCCCUGCGGCUCACAGUUGCCUACAGAAAGAUGCAUUGAGAGUAAAAAUGGUCUACUAAGUGGCUUAGAGACGGCAGCAGAGUGAAAGCCUGUCUUCCAUCGUAGCCUUGUUUCUGCAGGGCAAAUCUGGGAAUUGCUCUGUCCUCUGUAAAUAGCAUGUUGGCAUCAAGAUCAAGGAAACAGGAAGUCCAGUGAUGAAGUUCACAAGGAUGGGGGAGGGCUGCCUUCCCAUUCAAACAUCUUGGCUGAGUGUUCUGCAAGGCGCAGAGCUCCACGAUGCUGAAUUGUGUAACGGGGUCCAGCCUGCUUCAGUUAUACCUCAGGAUCAAAACCUCCCAGAUUCAAAAUAGCAUCUAACACACUCCCCAUUCCUGUGCGCCUUGCUGCGUGUCCACGCACCAGAACAAGGGCAACAACAGCGCUUCCCCAGCUGCCCAUGACCUUCUUCCGCCUGCCCCAUUUAGUCUUGACUCUGCUCUGCCUCCACGCUCAAGGUCUGGCUGUGGCCAGGAGUCACUGAAUUAAUCAUGCUAAACAAGAGCUUUGCUGAUGUUUUAGAAUGUCGAGGGUGACCUAAUUCCCUGUAUCUGUUUUUCACAACUUU